AGUUUUUUUUUGGUACACAUUUUCCCUUUAGUUUUUGAACAAAGAAUAAAGUAAUCAUCUUUUGCGACUGUUGUCUUAGCACCUUUAUGGGUGUUUGAAAUUUGAUUCCUUUUUAUUGCAAAAAGACAACGACUCAACUUAAACAAUUUCAAGGGCAACAAAAGGAAAGGAUAUAGGUUUCAACAUCAUCAGGUGCAGCUGGUCAUUUCAUAGAAUGGGUCUGUCACUGUCUCAGCUUCUAAAGCAAUCGUUUGCAAGGCGUUACAAGUUUCUUCGUUCUCUUCUUUGGGAUAUCAACUUUACUGUUUGAGCUUACCUUUUCUUGAGAACAAAGGAGAAAAAAGGAUACAGACAUAACAGAUAUUGGAGCAAGAAAUGCUGGUUGAACUUCCUGUUUCGGCUACAACUGUGGAAAUUGCUAUAAUUUUCUGGCAACGUGGAAAUAUUGAGCAUAUGUUACCCGCAUUUUGAAUUUUCUGGUUUCUAUAAUUUAUUGGUUUGAUGACAACAGAAAGAAAUCGCAUCAUAUCCUUGAGAAGUACAUUGUAGAUGCAGCUGGCUCACUGUUUAGAUCAUCAGCUGGCAUCCACCAGCAGGCUUUGAACUUGGAAUAGCGGUUAAGGCUGAAGUAGACAAAGAAUAUAAUUGUUUUGCGACUCUUGGACUGAAUCAUGCAUGAAACAUACUUGUAAAAGGAGCAGUCAU